rnacentral:rRNA from 1 species
AUACGUAGGGUGCAAGCGUUAAUCGGAAUUACUGGGCGUAAAGCGUGCGCAGGCGGUUUUGUAAGAAAGAGGUGAAAUCCCCGGGCUCCACCUGGGAACUGCCUUUGUGACUGCAAGGCUAGAGGACGGCAGAGGGGGAUGGAAUUCCGCGUGUAGCAGUGGAAUGCGUAGAUAUGCGGAGGAACACCGAUGGCGAAGGCAAUCCCCUGGGCCUGUACUGACGCUCAUGCACGAAAGCGUGGGGAGCAAACAGGAUUAGAUACCCUGGUAGUCCACGCCCUAAACGAUGUCAACUGGUUGUUGGGUCUUCAUUGACUCAGUAACGAAGCUAACGCGUGAAGUUGACCGCCUGGGGAGUACGGCCGCAAGGUUGAAACUCAAAUGAAUUGACGGGG